AGCAGUAGCCGCGGUAAUACAGAGGGUGCAAGCGUUAAUCGGAAUUACUGGGCGUAAAGCGCGCGUAGGUGGUUUGUUAAGUUGGAUGUGAAAGCCCCGGGCUCAACCUGGGAACUGCAUCCAAAACUGGCAAGCUAGAGUACGGUAGAGGGUGGUGGAAUUUCCUGUGUAGCGGUGAAAUGCGUAGAUAUAGGAAGGAACACCAGUGGCGAAGGCGACCACCUGGACUGAUACUGACACUGAGGUGCGAAAGCGUGGGGAGCAAACAGGAUUAGAUACCCCAGUAGUCCCUGUCUCUUAUAC
rnacentral:rRNA from 1 species